UACGUAGGGGGCAAGCGUUGUCCGGAUUUAUUGGGCGUAAAGAGCGUGUAGGCGGCCUGAAAGGUCAGUUGUGAAAACUCGAGGCUUAACCUCGAGACGUCGGUUGAAACCAUCUGGCUAGAGUCCGGAAGAGGAGUGUGGAAUUCCCGGUGUAGCGGUGAAAUGUGCAGAUAUCGGGAAGAACACCCGUGGCGAAGGCGGCACUCUGGGACGGUACUGACGCUGAUGCGCGAAAGCGUGGGGAGCGAACAGG
rnacentral:rRNA from 1 species